GGGAAUGUUACUUAACGGGUAAAGUGGUAAGCUUUUAACUUAUUUAUCAGAGUUCGAGUCUCUGCGUUCUCA
rnacentral:tRNA from 1 species